GCUGUGACAAGCGCUGCGGCAUUUGUCCCCGCGACAGCACCGCUGCCGCCGUCUCUAAGGUCGCCCGGGUCCCACCGCCGCCACCAUGCCUCGGGGAAGCCGCAGCGCGGCCUCCCGGCCAGCCAGCCGCGCCCUCUGCCCACCCGCCCGCGCACCCACCGCCCUCGGCAGCCGCCCCAGCCCCCGCCCCUUCGGGCCAGCCGGGGCUCAUGGCUCAGAUGGCGACCACGGCCGCAGGGGUAGCCGUGGGCUCGGCUGUGGGACACGUCAUGGGCAGCGCCCUGACCGGAGCCUUCAGCGGGGGGAGCUCGGAGCCCUCCCAGCCUGCUGUCCAGCAGGUGCCAACUCCAAGCUGAUCCUGCAGCCUCUUGCACUGUACCCCCAGGCCCCCACCCCCGCUGCCCCCCAGCCCCUGCAGAUGGGGCCCUGCGCCUACGAGAUCAGGCAGUUCCUGGACUGUUCCACCACUCAGAGUGACCUGUCCCUGUGUGAGGGCUUCAGCGAGGCCCUGAAGCAGUGCAAGUACUACCAUGGUCUGAGCUCCCUGCCCUGAAGAGGUCGGUGCAGACUCGGGGGCCAGUCCUGCACCCACCUCUACCCCUCGCCGACAGCCAGACCACAACACCAGAUUGUACCCAGAUAGCUGGGAUUGGAAGUGAGGAGGUUUCUCACCCCACAGAUAACCCAAGACACAAAUGUGCAAUUAAAAGUUUAUUUUAGACCA
rnacentral:lncRNA from 1 species